GCUUAUCUGGUUAAAUAAAGGUGUUCUCAACUAGCUUAUCUGGUUAAAUAAAGGUGUUCUCAACUAGCUUAUCUGGUUAAAUAAAGGUGUUCUCAACUAGCUUAUCUGGUUAAAUAAAGGUGUUCUCAACUAGCUUAUCUGGUUAAAUAAAGGUGUUCUCAACUAGCUUAUCUGGUUAAAUAAAGGUGUUCUCAACUAGCUUAUCUGGUUAAAUAAAGGUGUUCUCAACUAGCUUAUCUGGUUAAAUAAAGGUGUUCUCAACUAGCUUAUCUGGUUAAAUAAAGGUGUUCUCAACUAGCUUAUCUGGUUAAAUAAAGGUGUUCUCAACUAGCUUAUCUGGUUAAAUAAAGGUGUUCUCAACUAGCUUAUCUGGUUAAAUAAAGGUGUUCUCAACUAGCUUAUCUGGUUAAAUAAAGGUGUUCUCAACUAGCUUAUCUGGUUAAAUAAAGGUGUUCUCAACUAGCUUAUCUGGUUAAAUAAAGGUGUUCUCAACUAGCUUAUCUGGUUAAAUAAAGGUGUUCUCAACUAGCUUAUCUGGUUAA